GUUUAAUUUUGCCUGUUUUUCAGUGGCAGGGAGCCAGCUUCGUACAUGGUGUAAAUUGGACUCUUUCCAUUCACUUCAGUGGAACUGUAGUAACAUACACGAUUAGAAAUCAAAUUAAGCAGUAAGCGUGGAAUGUGAAAAUGCAGCAUAUUAAUGCUUCGGGAUAGGAUUUCAGCUGCAAGUGAAGGAAGUCUCUCGUUCAUGGCCCCAAGAGGUGACCACAACAUAAAUAAUAAAUGCUGGUAGAAGAAAACACUUCCUUAUCCUUCUGAAGGUAGUGCUGUGGGUUACAGAUAAAAGUAAUCCCACCUUAGUUUCUCCAGUAGGAUGGUGCAGUUAGAGGUUUGUUAGGCAGAUGUGUAAAGUGAUGGUAAUUGUGGUGUUCAUGAGGAGGGUACAGCAUUUUCAGAAUGGCCACCGACCUUGUGCAGCAAAGGAUUUGUAGAACACAAGUGUUGUGUUUGUCUUACAGGCUUUGCAGACAUGUGUGACAACCCCAUUGAUGUGAUAAACUGUAAGUGCUCCAAAGGAGCAAUCAUGAUCAAUUGUCAUUGAUGGGUUGGCUCUAUAUGAUUUACUGUGCGUGAUAUAUAGAAUAACUGAAAGGAGUUACUGUGGCCUGGUGUUCAAAUAUAUACUGAAAGGACCCCAGGAAAGCAGCUAGAUCAAGAUCAAGAGCCAACCUAUGUGUGACCGUCUUUGUUACUGACAUAGCUAAAACAGAUUUCUGUGACUUGAAGUAGCGCAUUUUUAAGUGGCCAUGACAGCUCUGGGGGGAUCACUCUACUACUUCUAUCCAUUUUCUCUGUAAGUUCAUUGUGUCAUCACAAUGACAAAGCAAAAGCGAAUGUUAAAAGACAUGUCAUUCAAACAUAGAGAUGGAAAACAAGGUGAGUACACCCUGCAUCAUGCUUCUCCUCUGUUUGGCUUUGUGCUUGGGACACGGAGCAGCGCGCUGGCUCAGAAAAGAAAGUUGCUUUCUGCAGAGUGGAUACUUGCACAGAGGCCUGCAGCCUGUAUGGAGCAGGAAUGGAGACAACACAGCAGGGAUGGACAUCAGCCACAUCUGACCCUCCAAAGGUUUAAGGACAUGCUUUGCUUUGAGUGGUCCUGAGGACAGGACAGGUGGUUGUUUGCAGCACAUCUGGGAGGCUUUGCAGUUGAGACCUGUGUGCAUGCUGCAUGCAAGGAGCUGAUGGGAAUAUGGCCGGUGAUCAGAGUGAGGAUGACCCUGGCUUUGGACUCGUAUUUAUUAUUAACAAGAAAUGGAAAUGGAAUUUUGGAUGUCAGUUGGAGAUCGGAUGGUCAUAACAGGGCUCUCCUGUGAGUCCUCCCUCCUCCCUUAAAAGCAGAUUUAGAAGCUUCUUUGUCCUCACCUUAUGCAGGAAUUCAGUGAGAGGGAACCUUUUCUGAAAGCAGUUCCUGUAUUUCACAAUCAGAUCUUGAAACACAUUUUUCUCAAAUUAAGAAGGAAAGCCUUUACAUCUUCUGGAUGAGACUGGUGUUUGCAAGUCCAAUCCCAAUCUGCAAAUUAGCCGAAAUUCAUUCAGGAUCAUUAAUUUUGCAUUACUGUGGGUUUUUUAGAGCACUGGAGGUGGUCGUUUUAUUUCUUUGCUCCCCAGACGCACACACACGAAGUAGAGGUUUUUGUCCUUAUAGCAAGACAGCGAGUUUCCAUCAAGCCAAUUAAUGAACGGGAGGCAGUGUUCAGCAUGUGUACCAGGGGCUGCUGUCUGAUCGGAGAGCUGGGGGCAUUGCCUGGAUCUUAGUACAAGUCAUCAGGUGGCAAAUUCACCAAGGAGUCUGCCAGCUGUUUGACUUCAUUACAGUCUAUCAUUAUGUCUACCUCCUUUUUUAUUUCUACUUUUAAUCACCUAAUAUCAUUUUUAUCGGCUUGUCAGGGCGUGGGAGAGAGCAGUGGGGAAUUCGUUUCACUUCUUUAUAGUACUUGUCUAUUUUGGUAAAAUAUUAUGGCAAGUUUAUGUCUGUCCUACUUUGAAAAACAAGAUUCAAGUGAACUAAUUAAGCCUGUGAGUACCAAAACAUCUAAUUAGUAUUAACUCUCACCUGUAAAACAUGAUAGGUGUCUUCAGUGCAAGAUAGAUUUCCGUAUUGUUCAAAAUGUAGAAGGAACCAGUAACUGGGAGCCAGGCAGUUGCUCAGACAGCACCUUCACAGCUCAAAACCUUCACCUGUUUUUGAUUGAGGCUCGUUGCUGUCAGUAUGACAAGACCUGUCACAUGCUAUCAGAGAGCUGAUCGGUAGAUUCAAAGGCAUCUUCAUCAGCUGUUUGAUCACACAUUGAGCCAGACUGCUCCUUGUCCUUUACAGCUCAACCAACAAAAAGGGAGACUUCUUCGCCAUGUGCCGUGUGUGUAUUCUACAUGUGGGGAUGUGUAGUGAUUUAGGUGGAGGGCUGCUACCCUUGGUUAACUCUCAUGCAGUUUUAAGCAAGCAAUUAAUAGCAAGGCUAGAAAUUGAAAUUCUGGCUGUGCAGAGCUUGCCAUUUAUACCACACAGGCAUUGUGUCACAUGCUGUACUUGUAGUGGAUGUAUAUUCUUGCACAUAGGUUGAUCUAGAAAUAGCCAGUGGUAAAAAAACAAAAACAAAAACAAAAAACAAACAAAAACCCAUCACCUCUAGGCUUCCGUGAUAUCCUUGCAUCAAGAUACACUGUUAGGCUAUGAAUUUAUGCUGGUGCCAUGCACGCAGUAGCCCAAGUUUCAGAGCAGACUAAAGUUUGUGACUAGACAUAGAACUUACACUUUCCCCAUCUCCUCCUCUGCCAGCUCUUUGGUCUCGUG
rnacentral:lncRNA from 1 species